rnacentral:rRNA from 1 species
AGCAUGUGGUUUAAUUCGAUGCAACGCGAAGAACCUUACCUGGGCUUGACAUCCCGAGAAUACCCCUGGAAACAGGGAGUGCCUUUCGGGGAACUCGGAGACAGGUGCUGCAUGGGCUGUCGUCAGCUCGUGUCGUGAGAUGUUGGGUUAAGUCCCGCAACGAGCGCAACCCUCGUCCUAUGUUGCCAGCGGGUCAUGCCGGGGACUCAUGGGAGACUGCCGGGGUCAACUCGGAGGAAGGUGGGGAUGACGUCAAAUCAUCAUGCCCCUUAUGUCUUGGGCUUCACGCAUGCUACAAUGGCCGGUACAAAGGGCUGCGAUACCGCGAGGUGGAGCGAAUCCCAGAAAGCCGGUCUCAGUUCGGAUUGGGGUCUGCAACUCGACCUCAUGAAGUCGGAGUCGCUAGUAAUCGCAGAUCAGCAACGCUGCGGUGAAUACGUUCCCGGGCCUU